ncrna:unclassified sequences RAGATH-19 RNA
UUCGCAGUGAGUUGUUUCUGCACCUACCUUUACUAGAAAGCAGCUAACUACCCUUUCUGAUAAAAAGGAAACAAGAGAGUUUUUAGAACGACACGUUCUACCGCUUUGUAAGUAGAUAAGUAUACAAGCGUGGGUGGUAAUC